CUCUUCCUCUUCCUCUCUCUCUCUGGGACACAGGGUCAUAACUCACCUUAGUGGAGGGAGUGGGCAACUUUAAAUGUCAGCAUUAUUUCUGCCAGCCCUACGUUCACUGUAAUGACACACAGCUUUCUUGUGUGUGUGUGUGUGUGUGUGUGUGUGUGUGUGUGUGUCCAUCUCUCUUGUUUGUAUUCCGUCAGUCAACUCUCACUCUCUCUAUCUCUCUCCAUCUCUCUUCUCUCCCUCUCUCUCCCUGUUUCUCUCCGUGUGUUUCUCUCUCUCUCUUUCUCUCUCUCUCUCUCUCUCUCUCUCUCUCUCUCUCUCUCUCUCUCUCUCUCUCUCUCUCUCUCUCUCUCUCUCACCCUCUCUCUCUCUCUCUCUCUCCCUCUCUCCCUCCCUCUUUCUCUUCCUCUUCCUCUUUCUCUGCUCUCUCGGCCACUCUCUCUCCCCUUCCUCUCUCUCUCUUCCUCUAUUCACCACUUUUAAUGACCAUUAAGAUCAGCAAAAGAACAUUGAGUGGGACUACUGCAGUAUAAAUAUUCAGGCCGCAAUUGGAUAGAGCGACCAGGAUAGAGAGGCUGCGAUUGGAUAGAAAGAUGACGAUAGAGAGGCCGUGGCACUGACUGGCUGUGGUGGAGGAAAGAGGAAGAAAGAAAUAAUGAAAGGAGGAAGGUUGGAGUAUAUAUAGAGCAGGGCCAAUCAGAUGAAGAGUGACUAGGACACCUUCUGCCUUCAGACAAGAGAACCGGACGCCCUUUAGAACCUGCAGAGAGAACAUGGUUCUCCCUGCAGGUUCAGAACAAACGUGCACCUCUUCCUAGGUACAGAUCGUAUUUUGCAGGAUAUACUGUUGCCUGAUAAAUCAAGCAAAAAAAAUAAACAUAAUAACGAUUUUAUUUUUUUAAGUGCCAUUAAAGUAAUUUCAGUUAACAGUAUUCCUUACUCGUCUGUCUUAAGAUGUGCGGACAAACAUUGCCUCAAUUUCCUUCACUCUGAAUGUUAUUUAUUUUUUGGUUGCCUUAACGGUUUCGAAAAAAUGUACACGCUUCAACCAUCUCAAUGUAACUGACCUUGAAUGCUAAGUACAGAAUUUGAAGAUCUGUUUUUAAGCUACUUUGUAAUGCAAUGGCACAGAGCCGAUUUGUAUUGUAAAUAUGUAUGUAUGGAUAUCACUUCUUUCCUUAAACAUGUAUAUUAUCAUAACGUAAUGUAUUCUCGGAUAUCCAAUAAAUGAAUUGAUGUGUGUUUUCCAGAGACGUGUAACAAUAAAAGUGGUUCAUGGGCAGACCUUCAAAUCUAAACACGCAUUCUAAUGCAUCGCCAGGUUUGCUUGUUUGUUGGGGUGAAAUAUGUUUCUAUUACCAUAUCUUUAACAUAACUUGUCAUGUUUUGUUCAGUCUUUUCACUGAUCGUCUGUCAUUGCCAAAAACUGCCAUUCUGGAGGAUCUUGAAUACAACUGUAUGUGAGUGAAUGUAUUGAAUGAUUCUAUUCACGAUCACGUUUAGACUCUAGGCCCUACUGUGGAUUAAACAAGCAAAAGCACAAACCGAUUCCUUGUUUCGGGAGAGGAGCUGCACUGUACCUUCUAUGUAAAUACUGUACAUAUUCAAGACGAGGAAGGUGAGAGUUUUACUCAUGGAUUCGGAACGGGACUGUGAUUUGCCGAGUGGGGGGUGUGUGUGUGUGUGUGUUUUGUUUUUGAUGCUGUUGUUCAUGAGACGUGAGUACUACAGUAGUAGCUUGACUGGCUGAGCGAGCCCAGUCCUUUUCCUGAUGUUAGAGUAGUAGAGGGUUGCAGGCCUGAGCCUUUUCACUUGACUGAUGCCUGCUGAUUUUUUUGCAGUUGCUAAGACACCGCUGUUAUAAUAACUGUUUAUCCCUGGGGAACUGCUAUUAAAUGGCAUUAUAUUA